rnacentral:rRNA from 1 species
UACGUAGGGAGCAAGCGUUGUCCGGAAUCACUGGGCGUAAAGGGCGCGUAGGCGGGAUGGCAAGUCGGUCGUGAAAUCCUUCGGCCCAACCGAAGAACGUCGGCCGAUACUGCCGUUCUUGAGGGAUGCAGAGGAGACUGGAAUUCCCGGUGUAGCGGUGAAAUGUGUAGAGAUCGGGAGGAACACCGGUGGCGAAGGCGGGUCUCUGGGCAUUUCCUGACGCUGAGGCGCGAAAGCGUGGGGAGCAAACGGG